rnacentral:rRNA from 1 species
AUUGAACGCUGGCGGCAAGCCUAACACAUGCAAGUCGAGCGGUAACAGAUCGCUGAGAUUCCUUCGGGAUGAUCUUGAUGCUGACGAGCGGCGGACGGGUGAGUAACGCGUAGGAAUCUACCCAGUAGCGGGGGAUAGCUCGAGGAAACUCGAAUUAAUACCGCAUACGCCCUAAGGGGGAAAGCAGGGGAUCUUCGGACCUUGCACUAUUGGAUGAGCCUGCGUUGGAUUAGCUAGUUGGUGGGGUAAAGGCCUACCAAGGCGACGAUCCAUAGCUGGUCUGAGAGGAUGAUCAGCCACACUGGGACUGAGACACGGCCCAG